GGAGAUAACCUCUGUCUCUGUCACCAAGACAACGCCUGCCUCUGCCCUCAUCAUCUUUGAAAAAUGCGAAGUGGCUGAGAGCGUAUGGGAAACACAUGUUUUCUGUGGACAGUAAAGAAUAUGAGCUUGCUGUGAGUCUUCAAAACAGAGGAGCAGACCAAGAUAAGAUCUUUGUUGAAAUGAUGGCGAUGGUUGACUACAGCCAUUUGCCCCUGGGUAUGGUGACGUUGACCAGCCAACAACAGUGUUUCCCGAUUGUCUGUUUCAGUGUAAAUCAGCUAAAGGAGCUGUGUACCUUGAGGGGACUCUACUCAGAGGUCUGGGUAUUGAUCCCACAGUUGCUGGGCCUAUUGGAGAGCUUUUCCUUCUCUGAUGUCCAGCAGUUACCCAGAUAUGGUGACUCAACGUAUAAGGAACAGUAAAGUGAACCUCAAAGGCCAUUCGACCAUCGUUUGUGUACAAAUAGGCAAACAAAGACCAGCCAACACGAGCAUGUCUUGAACCCUAAAGAUCCCAAAUCUUCUUUUUAUUCUGAUGGGUAUGAAGAAGCUUCCAUAAGGAGGGGAGGAAUUGAAGAACACCCCCUGACAGGGGACUACUCCCUGAACGUGGAUACGGACAAUUUUCCACUACAUGUGCAAGCACUGUAGGCAUGAAUAUCAACGCAUCCUCAAGCAGUACGGCGUGGAGGCUUUGGAAGUGACACCAGCACCCUCUUACAGGCCAGGAUGGAGGAACUGGGGCAAGCUGAGGAGCGACUUCGCCAGGUUCAAGGGGACCUCAGCAGGCGGUACAAAGAACUUGAGGUU